rnacentral:tRNA from 1 species
GGUUUAAUAGUCAAAAAUGAUUUUAAAUUGCAAAUUUAAAGGUAAAGGUUCUUUUUAAGCCU